CCUACGGGUGGCUGCAGUGAGGAAUAUUGGUCAAUGGACGAGAGUCUGAACCAGCCAAGUAGCGUGAAGGAUGACUGCCCUAUGGGUUGUAAACUUCUUUUAUAAAGGAAUAAAACGAGGCACGUGUGCCUUUUUGCAUGUACUUUAUGAAUAAGGAUCGGCUAACUCCGUGCCAGCAGCCGCGGUAAUACUGAGGAUCCGAGCGUUAUCCGGAUUUAUUGGGUGUAAAGGGAGCGUAGAUGGGUUGUUAAGUCAGUUGUGAAAGUUUGCGGCUCAACCGUAGACUUGCAAUUGAUACUGGCGUUCUUGAGUACAGUUGAGGUAGGCGGAAUUCGUGGUGUAGCGGUGAAAUGCUUAGAUAUCACGAAGAACUCCGAUUGCGAAGGCAGCUCACUGGACUGCAACUGACACUGAUGCUCGAAAGUGUGGGUAUCAAACAGGAUUAGAUACCCUAGUAGUC
rnacentral:rRNA from 1 species